AGAACUGCAGAUAGUACAGCCUUCACAGCAGCCAGGGAUGCCUGGGCACAAGCGCCUGAGUUCCGAGGGACUUUGGGAAACACUUUGCUAACUGUCUCCUGCCUGGAAACCAGGAUUCUGCACCUGCCUGAUGGAUAGUCUGGCCAGAGCCUCGGCCGUGCCCCCGGGGACAAGGAACUAACACAAAUAACCGUUUGGAAAUUGGAUCGUGGCAAAAUUACCAAUAAGUCCAUAAAGGAAACCGAAGGCAGUUUGAUCUACACCUUCAAUAACAGUCCCACAAAAGUUGAAGAAAUAUGUUAUGUCUCCAGACAUAUACUCCAAAGAGCAUAGUUAUACCCUAAAAUUAGGACGUGAUUCAGGUUUUGUAACUACUACCUGAUGAUACUCUGCUGAGAAUUCCAAAGCAAGCUAGGAAGCCAUAAAAUAAGAGAAGGGAUGCAGCCUCCAAAUUCAGCCAUCUUCCUGCAGAAAGGUAUUUGAAAACAGCCCUGGCUUGUAUUUUUAUGUAUCAAUCUCUGAAAUCUUUAAAAAUAUAAAAACCAUGGAGUGAAUAUUGAGCAGAUAUUCCACAGGAUGCGUGCAAAAGUGUGAAAAUAAAUCAACUUAAAUCAAAUCACCAACCUUUAUUCACUCAAAUGUUUCUUCAAAUAGAAACGUUCUGUUGCUCUUGGAAUAUCUCUAAGGACUCAAUCUUAGUUUCAUCGAGCAUAUAAGUUUGAAUUAAAUGUAUUCUCCUUCUCCUACCCCCACUAUCCCAUGGACAUACACAAACUAUCCUAAAGAAGAAAUGUCAUGUUUUGGAAAAGAUAUACUAUUUACAAGUAU